UGGUGAUAUCUGCAGCUGUUGGCUGUGGGAUUUCUUUUUAAAAGGACAGUUAUGAUUUAGGCCAGACACAUAAGACUAUUGCAAUUAGGGAGGUAACUAAAAAGGCAUAAAUGACCUUGUAAGGAGAGGAGUCUGUGUUCCCAGCUGUGCUCCCAUUGCUGGCUAAAGCGUCCUGUCUAGAUCAGGAGAUGGUACUACGGAGCCUCUGCCUCAGGAAGCCUACCAGAGGGGAAGGAAGGGAAAGAGCGUGUUGAAUUACAAAGUUCAGUGGGCAAAUACAGCUCUUCUCUGUCUCUCUGGAAAUGUAUAAGCUAACCAGCAAGCCAGGUGGUAAAGCCCGAUAUCCGGCGGGAGCGCUGGGUCCCAAGGCCUGGGAACUUCAGCAAUGCUGCAUGAGAGUACCCUAACUGUGGGUAUAUGCUUGCCUCAGAAUAGAGCCUGAAGAAUGCCAUGGCUGCUCCUGUUUGCCAGCCCCAGACAUGACACAAGCUGUUUCAAAGUCCUUUCACAGAUUAUAGCAACCUCAUGAAGUAAAACAGGCAUCCCCAGACCUACUCUGUAAGUACAGAGAGAAUAAGGGCUUUAUCCAAGGUGAAGAAAUGAAUGAGGACCAAGAUCCGAGUCCUAGGUAGGCUGAUGACAGCUGAAGAAGACUGUAUUUGCUGAGGAGCAGCGUGAUGGUAGAGAGGAGCAGAGCUCCUGAGGGAGACCUAAUGGUUCCUCUCCUUCCUGCACGGAGAUAAAGACUUAUAAUAAGCGUGCAUGUUCACCAUCUGGCUCUGUGCAUGUGGUCCUUAUGGAGGGGAGAGCAGCACAAUCUGUAAAUGAUCAGAAGCCAUGGCGCUCUCUCCAGAGAAUCCACGAUGCAAUCAAGGUGACAGAUGGCAUGGCCACUGCUGUGGCCUCAUGGAGAAGAUCAAAAUCACCUUCAAUAAACUCUGACUGAAAUGGGCACGAGCACCUCAAAAAAGUCAGUUUGUCAGUCAAACUGCGACAGCAAGCUGCAUUGGGGAAACAUAGCGGCCAGCUCUCUGUUUUCAAUCGUUUCCGUCUGACUGGGCCUGAACUAUGAUCUUUCUCAAAUUGUCCUUUCUGUUUAGCUGAAGCAGGCCAGCAAAUUGCCAGAUUCAUGGCUUUAUUGAAGAAAAUUGAAAACACGAUGUCCUCAAUGCCGGGGAUGCACGGCUGGCAGGUGCUGGGACACCCAAGCACUGAGAGUGGGUCCCUGUGUCUUCAGCCCAAGUUUGCUCAACUUGAGGCAGAUUUUUGGAAAUGAAAAUAAAAUGCAAAUGUACGCCUGGCCUGAAAAGAUCAGCUGGCAAUGGAUAUGUGAAGGGUUUUAGGUGUCCAAUAAAUGUGUGUCGAAUAAACACAUGCUUGAAAAGAGCAGGAGGAAGGAAGGAAGGAAGGAAGGGAGGAAACGGAGUCACAGACGUCUCGGAGUCAUUGGUACCAUGUAUUUUAAGAGCAGGCUGCCUUAGUGACGGAUUUGGUAUCUGUUUCCUUUUCUGUGCACGUUUAUUGAAUAUAGGUUUGUGAAUCUGAAGUCUUGGACUU